CCUACGGGGCGCAGCAGGCGCGAAACCUCUGCAAUGCGGGAAACCGUGACAGGGGGAUCCCAAGUGCUCAUGCAUUGCAUGGGCUGUUCUCUGGUCUAAGUAACCAGAGGAGUAAGAGCUGGGCAAGACCGGUGCCAGCCGCCGCGGUAAUACCGGCAGCUCGAGUGGUAGCCGCGAUUAUUGGGCCUAAAGCGUUCGUAGCCGGAUAAGUAAGUCUUUGGUUAAAUCCUACGACUCAACCGUGGGAAAUCUAGAGAUACUGCUUGUCUUGAGACCGGGAGAGGUUGGAGGUACUCCUGGGGUAGGGGUGAAAUCCUAUAAUCCUAGGGGGACCACCUGUGGCGAAGGCGUCCAACUGGAACGGGUCUGACGGUGAGGGACGAAACCUAGGGGAGCGAGCCGGAUUAGAUACCCACGUAGUCC
rnacentral:rRNA from 1 species